GAUGAACGCUGGCGGCGUGCUAAACACAUGCAAGUCGAACGGUGAAGGCGGAGCUUGCUCUGCUGGAUCAGUGGCGAACGGGUGAGUAACACGUGAGCAAUCUGCCCCUGACUCUGGGAUAAGCGCUGGAAACGGCGUCUAAUACUGGAUACGAGCUGCGAAGGCAUCUUCAGCAGCUGGAAAGAACUUCGGUCAGGGAUGAGCUCGCGGCCUAUCAGCUUGUUGGUGAGGUAACGGCUCACCAAGGCGUCGACGGGUAGCCGGCCUGAGAGGGUGACCGGCCACACUGGGACUGAGACACGGCCCAGACUCCUACGGGAGGCAGCAGUGGGGAAUAUUGCACAAUGGGCGAAAGCCUGAUGCAGCAACGCCGCGUGAGGGACGACGGCCUUCGGGUUGUAAACCUCUUUUAGCAGGGAAGAAGCGAAAGUGACGGUACCUGCAGAAAAAGCGCCGGCUAACUACGUG
rnacentral:rRNA from 1 species